rnacentral:rRNA from 1 species
UUCUGGCUCAGGACGAACGCUGGCGGCGUGCUUCAUACAUGCAAAGUCGAACGAUAAGGUCUCUUCGGAGAUACAUAAGUGGCGGACGGGUGAGUAAUAUGUAGAGAAUCUGCCCUAGAGCGGGGGACAACAGAAGGAAACUUCUGCUAAUACCCCAUAUGAGCGUAGCUGAAAUGCUAUUCUUGAAAACUCCGGUGCUCUGGGAUGAGUCUGCAUCUGAUUAGCUAGUUGGGGGUGUAAUGGACCACCAAGGCGACGAUCAGUAGCUGGUUUGAGAGGAUGAUCAGCCACAAUGGGACUGAGACACGGCCCAUACUCCUACGGGAGGCAGCAGUAGGGAAUUUUGCGCAAUGGGGGAAACCCUGAACCGCAGCAACGCCGCGUGACCGAUGAAGCCCUUCGGGGUGUAAAGGUCUGUCAGUGGGGACGAAACUUGACGGUACCCACAGAGGAAGCAUCGGCUAACUCCGUGCCAGCAGCCGC